UCAUGUACAUAAAUGCUGCUAACAUAUUAUUGUAGCCCAGUUUGUGCUGUUUACAGUGAUAUAAGACUUUAGCCAUUUAUAUGUUUAUAAGCAACUGAAAAAAGCACAAAUGUAAGGGCAUGUCAAAACUUCUCCAGGCCCCCAAAACACCCUCAGACCCCAGAGGGUUAACCAGCAUGGAUGGCCAGUAUAAUUAAAGAAAUUAAAUGGUAAGUGAAAUAUAAAUAUUUGUUUUGCUGAAGAAAUUGUAUAUUAUUCAAAACACACUGUAUUUGGUUGUUGUAGAUGUUCAUAUAUCUCAGAGAGCACUGUUAAAGUUUUAGCUCCACCUUAUCAGAGAGCUGAAAAGAGGAAGUCAGAGGAAACAUGACCAACCUGCAGCAAAACAAUAACACAAAAGGUCUGGACUCAUUACUUGUUUGGUCAUCUACAUUCAGAUGAAAACACCACACUUCUCCUAAUUCAAGAUGUCAAGCCUACUCAUCACAAAGAGAGUUAGCAUCAGAAUGGAUGUGUCACUGACCAAUAACACAGCAUCUGUUUGCAGUCUACUUUUUGUUCAGUAUGGAGCAUCCAAAAUCCAUCACUCAGUUAAUUUCAAUCAUUACUAUUGAGCCCUUCCCAGUGCUGAAAUUGUCCUGGGUCCUUUGUUUUUAUUGUUUAAAUGCUUAUCUGAAUGUAAAAUUAAUAUUUAAUGCUUAUAAAUGAAUAAAAAACAAUACUAUGGUUAGUCUUUUAGCUCCCUUUUCAGAAACAUGUGGUUCACCUUCUUUCAUGGGUUACAGAACUGGGGAAAGUUGCAGUAUGCAAAAAAAAAAAGUCAGACUACUUGGUUUAUAGGUUUAUAGGAGAAUGUAUCAUUAAUAUACUAUUUGAUGACAAACAUUUCACAUUCUAAUUUUAUUUAUAACUUCAUUUAUUUGUGCAAGUUAACAUUCAAUUUUUUUUUUUUUUUGUGGUUUCAACAUAUCAACAUAUCAAUCAACAUAUAUAUGUGACAAACAUGUUGGAUACGGGGGGGGGUUGAAAAAACAAUAUUUCUAAAAUGGAGAGUGCUAUUUUAGGUUGACAGGUAAAAAUAUAUAUUUUUAAAAAGUAUAAAUAAAUAAAGAAACAUGGAUUUAUGUUAAUCCCUGUAACUGUUGCACUAUGAAUUGCUGUGUUAUAUAUUGCUUGUCAUUGUAAAUGCUAAUAAAAGUGUCUUAAAUGAUCACACAACUCCUUGAUGUCUUAUGCUUAUAGUUAUUUCAGUUUUUCUAGUGAUAAAGUAGCUAUAUGAGCUGUUUAAGUCUUAAAAUUUAAUUAAAAUAAAACAAAAAUUAAAUCCCAAAAAUGAUCCCAUGAUGGGAACCCCUAAAGAGUUCUAUAUAGAACAUUUUAGGGGUUCCAAAUAUGUAGCGCCUGAUAGAACCUUUUAAGGUUCUAUAUAGAACCUUUUCUUCUAAGAGUGUAGUUAAAAUGUGCAGCAAGAUAGUGGGGACCAAAUUUAUGAACAUAUUGAGCAGGAAGGGCCAUUUAGUCCUUUCCGAUGUCACCCACCCAUUGUGUACUGAAUUUCAACUGCUUCCCUCUGGAGAUAUAAACUCCCUUUGUGCAAAUCAAAUAGAUUUAAGAAUUAUUUUAUGCCUGCUGAAUAAUGUUUUUAAAUGACUUCUUAUAAAUGUGUGUUAUUUAGUGUGUGUUGUGUUGCUGUUUAUGUAUGUAUACUGUUGUGUACAUAAAUAAUUGCCUUUAAGGAUGAUAAAGUUAAGUAAGUUUAAUUUACUUUUAAUAAAACUUUUUUUUUGCUUGCAUGAGUGGAGGAAACCUUAA